rnacentral:rRNA from 1 species
UAAAAAAGUAAUUUUUAAAAUAAAUUUUUAAGUAGUAUAAGGUUAUUCUUAAAAUUUAAAAAAUUUGGCGGUAAUUUAAGUCUAUUCAGAGGAACUUGUUUAUUAAUUGAUAAUCCACAAUAAAUCUUACUUAAUUUUAUGAAAUUUGUAUAUCGUCGUCGUCAGAAUUUCUUUAAAAAGAAAAAAUUUUCUAAACUUAAAAUUUUUAAUAAUGUCAGAUCAAGGUGCAGUUUAUAAUUAAGUAAAAAAUGAGUUACAAUAAAAUUAUUUUUAGUUAUUAAAUUGAAAUAUUUAAUUUAAAUUGGAUUUGAUAGUAAAUUAAUUAAAGUUAAAUUAAUUGAUUUUAGUUCUAAAUUAUGU